CAGUAGCCGCGGUAAUACGUAUGUCACAAGCGUUAUCCGGAUUUAUUGGGCGUAAAGCGCGUCUAGGUGGUUAUGUAAGUCUGAUGUGAAAAUGCAGGGCUCAACUCUGUAUUGCGUUGGAAACCGUGUAACUAGAGUACUGGAGAGGUAAGCGGAACUACAAGUGUAGAGGUGAAAUUCGUAGAUAUUUGUAGGAAUGCCGAUGGGGAAGCCAGCUUACUGGACAGAUACUGACGCUAAAGCGCGAAAGCGUGGGUAGCAAACAGGAUUAGAUACCCCGGUAGUCCCUGUCUCUUAUACC
rnacentral:rRNA from 1 species